rnacentral:lncRNA from 1 species
AAAGAUUUGAGGAAUUAGGCCGUAUACAAAGAUAGACGCGGCGGAAGCUAUCUCCGGCGACUCUCCGAGGAAAAGCAAAAUAGGUUUGGAGAAGACGUAGAUUAACGUUAGGAGAAGGCCCGUGAGAGUAAGCAAGACGGUGGAUCUCUGGAGAUAAAUGCCAAGCAUCUCGUAUUUUCUACCUCCAAACGCUUGACCACACAACGUCUCUACCGCACUACCCAUUCCUAGCUUAGAAUUUUCAAAAAAAAAAGAACAAAAAACCCUCAAAAACACAUACACAUGCAAAACAGAACACAGAGACAUGUUGUGUAGUUUUGGUUUACCAUGAGACCGUAGGCGGAGAUUUGGAUUCCAGUGUUACCAAGAGAAGCGGCGGCGAGUUCUAGGUUGCCUAUCAUGUAGACGAUGACCGCAGGUGCAGCAAGCUUGAAGAGCAGCUUGGAUUCAAUCAUCGUGGCCUCACGAAGGCGGUGAAAAAACGGAGUUUCAACGUCGGAAAGCACUCUCUCUAGCUCGCCGUUACUUGACUCCGUCGAUGGAGAAAGCGGUACCGUUCCAUCAGCCGGAGGGUAGAGAAGCGGUUGGUAUACGCCAUCGUAUUGAGACGAGUCCAUGAAGAAGCGUAAGGUUUGCUCUCUCUUUUUUUGUUUUUGGUUUUUGUUUUGGGUGCUGUCACUGGGGAAUGGGGAUUAUCGCCUGAGGAUGUGCAUGGCUUGUGUACUCUAGUGCGUCUUUUGGAGGGUUGCGAGUGGCGGCUAAAGGCAAUUUACAAUUAAGUGUUUUCUUGGGUUGUUAAUAAGAUGGUGUUCCUACUUUCAUUAUAUUAUUUAACAUCUACUCUAUUGAAAUAAAAAUCACAACUUCUAUUUAUAUAUUAUAAUAUCACAUUUUAUAUAAUCAACACAUAUAACAACUUCACAUAUAAAACUGUUUUAAUUUUAUUUUUAAUUAUAAAAUAUCUGUUGACAAAAAAUCUUACUAAAAAUUUAAAUAUAUUUUAUAUAAUAAUGCAUUAAUUAAUUUCAUAAUUAGCAGUAUAAUAUUAUUCAAAUCAAUGUUAAUUAAGAUUUUAUUAUAAAAUAAAAUUAAAACUUGUAUGCUACUUUCAUAAAUUUUCUAAUUAUAGUCUAUAUUAUAUUAAAAUAGAAGUACUAUAUAAGUUAAAUGUAAAAAUUAUAUUAAAUUAUUAAAUUAACCAAUUUUAUUACUUUUUAAAAAUAUUUCCUUUAAAAUACUAUUCACAAUUAAAAGAGGUUUAAAUUCGUAAUCAAGUAUAAAAUUUUACUACAAUAAUAAGUCUAAAUGAUUUAAACAUAACAAUAUAUUUACUUAAAAGAUCCUUCUAUAAACUAAAAUUAUAGAUGCUAAAGUAUAUUUUAUAAAAACACAACAAGGAAACAAAUAUCUAUCCUACAGUAUAACUAAAUAAAAUUUUAAAAAUAUUUUAUGCAAACUGUGGUAAAAAUAUAUAUUUUGAAGGGGGUUACCUUUUUGAUUAUUUUAUAUUAUGAAUUCACUGUACCAAAUUUAAAAUUAUAUUAUUAUUUAAUAACAAAGUAAAAUGUAUAAAAUAAAUCUUUAUAUAUUAAUAAUGUCACAUAAAACAAAUAAGAUUAUAGAAUUAUAUUAUAUAUAAUAUUAAAACGUAAAUCAUAUAUUUAAAUUAUUUACGAUGAUAUCAAAGUUAUAUAUUUAUAAAAUGUAUAAAUACCCGCACAGAUGUGCCGGUCAAGUUAUAGUUCUAAAAAUAUGAUAUAUAUAAUAAAAUAUUUGGUUAAGUGCCUGAUGACAAAAAAAAAAAUUGGUUAAGUAUCUUAUAAUCAUAAAUUUUUUAUACCAAAGUAUCUCAUUUAUACUUAAAUUAAAUUUUGAUCCGCGCUUCGAAAACGUGGAGAGGGGGGGUUGGAACAUAAUCCGCGCUUUGUUGUAUAUUUUUAUGUUAUAAAGUUGUAUUACAUCGAAUAAGGAAAUUUGUUUAAAACUAUAUUUUUUCUGACUUAGUUUAUUCAAUAUUUUUUAUUCACAGUUUUAUUAACUCUCUUUUCGGCACGUGCAUUUUGACCCGAACCCGAAGAACCAAAUUGAAACCGACACAAAAAUACCUAGUGAUUUUUUUUGGACCUGCUGGUCUCUGUUUGAGUGUGGGUACCCAAAGUACCCAAAAUCUUUUGUGUAUAUUAUGUAUAUUUGGGUAUUUCAUAUAUGUUUCAGUAUUACAAAUAUUUUUUAAAGUUGCGGGUUUGCCUUUUCGGUUAUAGUUUUGGUUAAAUUUCAAAAUUUAAAAAUAAUAUUUAGGGUAUUCAUAUAAAACUUUGGAUAUUUUUGGUUCCUUGGGUACGGUUCCGGGUAAAAAAUUUGGUCUUUUUGGGUACGUGAAUAUUUUUGGAUAUUUGUUUUUCGUGUUUUGGUUUUUUUGGAUUUUGGGGUACUUUGAGUCUUUUUUAUCCUAAAUACCCAAACCGACCCGGAUCCACUACGUACCCAAAUUACAUGUAUUUUACAGGUAAUUUAAUUAUGGACUUGAACCAACCUGUAUCCAAAAGGAAACGACCUGGAUUGAAAUUUUUCCAAAUACCUAGUUGGGUCUAAAUGUUUAGUACCCGAAGAACUCGGAUCUAAAAGAAAUCGAUUUGUACCUGACCCGAAUACUCAAAUGACCAAACCUACUCUCUCUUAUUAAAUUUUGUGUGUAUUUUAUAAGAGUUACAUUUGUUAAGUUGGUGAAACUUAAGAUUUACUUGGAAUAUUUUUUUGGCAAUUUAAUAAUAUAGAUUUGUAACGGCUUUUUUCAUUUUUUUUUUGAAACAAAUGUAGGUUUUUCAUAAUUUAAGCUUAUCUUAGAUAACAAAAUUUAUUAUAAAUAAUUUUUAUAAAAAUAUAUUUAAGGUAACAUAUAGAAUUUUGUUGGGGAAAUUUUAUGUUUACCACGUACCACUUUUCAUCUUUACCACCACUAAAUAGACAUUUUCAAAAAUAUUUUCUUCAUUAAGUGGUAAAAGACUCUUAUAUUUGAAACUAUUUAAAAAAAAAUUAUAUUUUUAAAUAUUUAUUAAUAUAUUUAUUAGAAAUAUAAAUUUCACAUUUCAAAAACCCUAUCCCACCACUCAACUCUAAACCCUAAGUCUAGAUUAGUUAACCCUAGGGGUAUAAGUGUAUUUUAUCCUUCAUUAAAAGUGAGGGUAAAAGUGAUUAGUGUAAACAUGAAAAGUGGUAUUAUGAAUGUGGUAUUUGUGGCAAUUUCUCAAUUUUGUUUUGACAGAUGGUUUACUAAAGUGUUUUUAUAAAUUUGUUUUUGUAAAUAUUUGGAAUUAUAUAAUGUAAGAUGACAUGGUAUAAAUGUUUUAUGAUAUAUGCUAAAUCAUUUUUGUAAUUGAUGUUUAAGUAUUGUAGGUCCAUAUUAAGUAUAAGAUAUGGUAUAUAAGCAUAACAACCACAAUGAAUUGGAUGAUAAAAUAAUAUAGAAGAAAGUGUAUCAAAUGAAAUGAGGAAUAAUAAUAGGACCCCUUUAAAUAUUUAAAUUUUGUAGGGUUAGACUAGGUAGGAACAAAAAAUAAGGAGGUAUGUUAUGUUCGUUGAACUUGAGCAAUCUGAUAUUGCGUGAGAAUAGGAACUUCGAAUAAAGUUGACCCUUUUUGUUAUAACGUUUAGCCGUUUAAUAAAUCCUUAUACAUGGCUCCAACAACUUUUUAUAGUAAAUUUUUAGAAUGAUUUUCUUUUAAUAAUAUAUACUAGAUCUCGAUCCGCGCAACCGCGCAGGUUUUUGUUUUCAAUUAUUUUUAUAUAAACAUUUUUUUUUCAAAUCUAAAUUGGUGUAUAUUAUAAUAUAUAUGUGUAUAUCAAUUUUUAAAACAUAAUAAGUUUACGGUAUAUUUUUUUCAUUGAAUAUACUGUUUCAAACUUUCACAUGUAUUUGUAUCUUUUUCUAUAUAUAUAUUUUUGGAUUAUUAUUUCAUUAUUAAAAUCGUAACUAUAUAUAUAAAGAUUAGUAAAAUAUAUAUUAUUUUAUUGUCAUAUUCAAAGAUAUUGUAACAUUUCACAAAUUUAGAAAGUUUGAAAAAAAUUAAACUUUUUGCUUCAUAGAUUUAUAUUAUCGAGUAAAUAAUUAAACAUUUAGUUUUUGUUUAAUUUUUCAAAUAAACUAUUUCGAUUUUGUUUAAUUUUUAAAAUAAACUAUAUAGUUUUAAAUUUGUUUUCAUUGGUUUAAAGUAGUAAAUAUUAAUCAUUGUUAGAUAAUAUGAUUUUUGUUAUUUAAAAAAGAAUCUUUAUAAUUUUAAAAGUUAACAUCGACAAAUAUUUAAAUAAUUAACAUAUGUAUGUAUAGUAUUACAACAUUAAAUUAUAUCUAUUUAAUUUAUACUAUCCAUAAAUCCAAUGAAUCAUCUAUGUUUAAAUCUAAUUAUUGAUAGCCUAAUAAAAAUGUCUGGUAUGUCUAAAAAUUAAAUGAUAAGAUUAGAGAUUAAAUGUGAUAUGACUUUCUAGGAAUAUGUCCAUUAGUUCUAUUUUUAAAAAAAAUCACAUGUGAAUCAAAGUUGUGACUUCUGUUUUAAAAUAUAAGAUAUAUACCAAUAUUUUAUAUAUUUAUAUUAGCAUUAAAUUGAAAACAUCAUGUUGAAAACUCUCCGCUAGUAAUAUUCUAAUACAAGCCAUUUUUUCCACCCCCAUUUUUUUUUGGAUUCAACUGUUCGUCAGAUUGAAUAAAACAACAUUUAAUUUCCUUUCCCUUAUGUUUAAUAUCUAUGCUGAUAUAAUAAGUUUAAUUAAAUGUAUUAUUCAUUCUUAAUUAUGCAUCAAAGUAUAAUGUUUGGGCAAAAAAUAAUAUUUCAGGUUAUUAAUUCCAAGCUUAACAUCAUUUCGAAAUUACUUCUGCUUUCUUGUUGCUCCAUAUGUCCAAUCUUCUGGAAGCUUCUUCCACCUGAAACAAGCAUGAUAUUUUACUAGUCUUGAAGUGUAACAAGAUUCAAACGCAAACGCGGUGGCUUAACGGCCUGACUGGUUCAAACGCAGCGGUUGCGGUUGCAGUUGCGGGAGUUUGCGAAUGCGGGUGGUUGCGGUUUCUAGCGGUUUUAAGAGAUUUGUAUGACUGGUUAUGCGGUUAGAAAUACCCCAAUACGAACAAAAAAAAACUUGCAUGCCCACAAACACCGAACACAAGAUCAAACCCAUUCAAUUACAUCGGCAGGAGAAAUCAACAAUACCCACAAACCAAAGUUUAGAUUUUUCUUUCUUUUACAAUCUCAAACACAAGAAAACAAUCUCACAAACCUUCAAAAACCAAAUACGAGGAAAGGAAAAUGAACAAAAGAAAAACUCACUUGAGUUCGUUCCCGAGCAAUCCGAGGAGAGCUCUGAGAUGCUCCAGGAAGAUGUCGGAGUUGCGGACAAGAUCCUCGUACUUGACCCUGGCAGAGGAGUCGCCAGUGUUGGUGUGGUUGUCUGGAACCACCUGAACUAGUUGCGAGGAGGGUGAAACUGUCGACAUCUUUUCUUUUUUUGCUGUCUUAGGUGAAUGGUAAAGAGUUUGUGAGGCCGUAUAAUCUUUUAAAUACUGAUUUUGUUAUUUUACAAUUAGUCACUUUCUUAACAGUUAAGAAGAAAACAUAGAGUCUGAAUGGCAAGAUGCGGAAAUAACAGCGGUGCGUUUUUUAAUAGUAACAAAAACAUAUAAAUACAUAAAUAUAUAAAAAAUUUUUUGCAACUAUCAAUUAUAGCGAGGUUUGGAAACAUUCAAAGCCUUAAUAAUAUUAAAAAAAAUAAGUAUAAUUAAUUAAUUAGAUAAGUAAUGAUGAUGUUUUAAGAAUUGUUUUAGUCUUAACAAGACCAAGUCAUAGUCUUACACAGAAACAAGAAUUAAGAUUAUUUUCUUUUUUUGUUAAAUACAUAUCUAUAUACAUUGACUAGAUUAAUGAGAUAACGUUGACCAAGAGAAAAAAUAAUUAGAAAAUUAAUAUUCGCAAAAGCCUAUUGCUGGGUUAGUGGGCUUAUCUAAUCACGCGGCCCACUAAAAUAAUAUAAUUAUUUAAAAAACAUGUUUUGAGAAAAUAUUUAUUAUCUAUGUUAUUUGAAAAGAAACUAGAGGUAAAAACUCAUAAUUUAUAAAUGAAAGGAUGAGAGCAUAUAUAUUGAUAUGAAGAUUUAAUAAUUCUUUAUAUGAAAAACCAAUAUUAUGAGUGAAAUGAAGUUUUCAUCAAAUUGAAAAAGAGACACAUAUUCCUUUUAUAAUAAUAAUUACUUCAUGAAUUCAAAAACUACACACAAUUAAGUAAUUUUUAAAUUAUAUAUGUACUUUAAAUCAUCAUAUUUCAUUCAUUUAUAAAUUAUUAUUCAUCUGUGUAUCGUAUUUUAAAAUAAAUACCAAAAGUUAGAUUGAAAACAUCUAACUGGCAAUAUUAAAGUUAUUAUAUUAGACAUUUUUACCGUGUAUUUGUAUAUAAAAUUUUAAUCCAACAAUCAUAAAAUUACUUAAUUAUACAUACAUGUUAUUUAGAAUAUAUAAUAAGACAACUUGAUAAUAAUUUAAAUUGUUUUCCUUAAAACAGUUUAUGUCCACGCCAGUUCAACUAGUUAUUACAACAAUAAUUGUUUUUUCUUAACUCAAUAAAAUUGAAACCAGUAUAAACCCUUAGAACUAUAUUUAAAUUAUUUCUUAUAAAAAAAACACUCGACCUACUAUUUCAAAUCUAUCUCCUCAACCAUUCAAAUAUUAGUGAUAUGUAAAAUAGGUAAAGAUUUUAUUAUAUGCAUAAUAUUUUCUUUAUUAGUUAACUCACACAAAAGAACUCAAAGGUUUCAUUUAGAAGAAAAAAAGAAAUCAAGUUUUCUCAACAAAAAAAAAAUCAAGGGCUUUCAUAUCUUGCGUUAGAAAAAAAGAAGAGUAUACAUCUUUAUAUAUAUAUAUAUAUUUUUUUUUUGAAAAAUACAUCUUUAUAUAUUUGAUGUUAGAUUGUUAGUAAUUUGCUUUGUUUAGCUAAUAUAAAAUACUAGGUUAAGAUCCGUGCCUUGCGCGGGAUGAACAUUAUAUAUAAAAAUUAUUUUAUAUAUUAUAUGUUUAUAGCAUAUUAUGAAAUAAAAAAUAUAUAUUGAAUAAUUAAAAAGUCAUUAUCUACUAUUUAUAAAAUUAAAUUGGUGCGAACAUAUAAAUAAAUUUAAUAAAUUGAAAAAAAUAUUUUUUCUAUUUGAAAUGAUAUAUAAUUAAAUUUAAAUGAUAAUAACAUAUAUAUGGUAUAUGUUAAUAUUAAUAUUUAUUAGAUGAUGCUUUUUGCUCAUUUUUUUUAUUUGUAUCUGUUAUAGCAAAAAAUUUAAAUUAGUGAUAACAAAAUUUUCACUGUGGGAAUAAUGGUUUAAAUAAUUUAUAAUAUUUUGAAAAUUAAGUUGUCAAUAUUUUUUCAAUUUUUUUAUCAAAAAAAUGUUCAAAGUAAAUUUCAAAAUUAUGAUAUUUAUGUAUUUUUAUAUGAUAUAUAGUUUAAUUUAAAAUGAUAAUAUAUAUAUAUAUAUAUAUAUCAUUUAAAUAUUAAUAAUAAUUAAAUGAGACCUUCUACUCAUAUGAUUUUGUAAUCAUUUGUAUUUUGUCAUAACCAAAAUUUUAAACUAUGGAUCACAAAAUUUGAAUGUGAGACUUUUAACAGUUUUAGUAAUUUAUAGUUGUUUUUAAAAAAUUCAAAAUAUAAUAUAUACCAAAAAAUCAAAAUUUUUAUUAUAUGGUUAAUGUGGUUGUUUAAUUUAUUUUAAUAGUUUAAAAUUAAAAAAAAUAUGAUAAAAGACACUAAUUUUUUUUCAAUCUUUAUUAUUAAAAAUCAUUAAUUGUCAUAUAUUUGUUAGCCGUAUUAGAUAAUUUUGUAAUGUUUAUUUAAGAAAAUAAUAAAUAACAUUAAUAAUGAAUUUAUGGUUAGUUUAAUAAAAAGAUUAUAAUAUAUAUAGAUAAAUUAACAUAUUUCUCUAAAGAUUCUAAGAAUCAUUCUAUUGAUGACACGUGGCUACAAAAAAAAUGUUGUAAUGCUUCUCGAUUAAUAUAUAAGAGAUUCAGAGUUCAUUAUGAUUAGCAUAUUUGAGUGUGCGUAAAAUGUAAGAAUCCAUAUAUAUUUUUGGAGACGAUAAACUGGUAACACUUAAUUUUAUAUAAUUAAAAUUAAAGAAAGGAAGUUGGGACAAAGAGCAGACCUUAUCGCUGCAUUGAAUCCAACAGAUAUCAUAAACACCCAUCCUGAAAUCGUCAUGCUGAGACAAUAAAAUAAAUGAAUAUAUCAUAUGGUAAGUCGAGCUAAUAUAAAGUGUAUAUCCAUAUAAAGCUAUAAGCUUUUGUUAAUACAACAUUAUAAAAUUUCUGUUAAAGGAAAAAAAAAAUAUUAUAAAAUUUCAGAUUUUCAGUUUUAGGAAAUGGAGAUUUUAUAUUUUAAAGAUGCAAAUUCUAUCAUUAUUUGGUACAAGUCCCGAAAUUGAAUGUUGUAAAAUUUCUGUUAAAGCAAAAACAAAAAAAAUUAUAAAAUUUCAGAUUUUCAGUUUUAGGAAAUGGAGAUUUUAUAUUUUAAAGAUGCAAAUUCUAUCAUUAUUUGGUACAAGUCCCGAAAUUGAAUGGCUUCUUUUGUUUGGCUAGUACACUUUUGAGGAAUUAAAAAAAGAAGCUAGUACGACGGCUGAAACACAAUAGAUCCAUCUAAAUAAUGGAAGAAUAUAAAAUAAUUUACAUAUAGAGAAAGAAGUAGAUGCGGUUAACCGAUAAUUGGAUGAAUAAAUAAUGUUUUGUUGAAUUCCAAAUAAUUUAACUUCAUGAUCAAAACCAAGAAUUAAAUAUUGAUCACAUUUUAUAUGCUCAGACAGAAACUGUAGGGUAAAAUAGUAAUACAUAUUGAAGAUGAAGACAAAAACGAGGAAGCAUGCUGUAGAAAUUAGAAAGAGUUUUUUGUUUAUAACCAAAGCAAACUUUCAUAUUUACAACCAAGCCUUGCUUUGUACUAAAACUGUUGAGAAAUCAUUUCUAAAAUCAUUCAUCCAAAAAGUCUAAAACCAUACGUACGAACGUCGAAUUUCAAGAUAAAAGAAUAUUGUUUGGCUGAGGAGACUAAAUAUACUAGCUUUUUUUCUUUUGAAACACGACUAAAUAUACUAGCUAUACUAAACAAUAAAAUAAAAAAACGUAUAUAUGCUUGUCUUUUUGGAAAAAGAAAGAAUAUAUAGUCAUUUGAUCAAAAAAAAAAAAAAGAAUAUAAGGUCUAUUUGGACAAAAAUAAAGAAUAUAUUUUUAAUUUUUUAGCUGGAUAUUAACAGAAGCAAAAUUGUUAAUAUUUAAUUAACAAAACAAUAAAAAAUACUCACAAUAACUUUUCUAGAUUUCUCAAAAUUGUGAAAAUAAAAAUAUUGAUAUUUAAUUGAAUGUAUAUUAAUCCACACCAAAAAAAUUGGUGACUUUUCAAAUAGUUGAAAUAUUCAUCUAGUUAUGAAGAAAUUAUUUCUUUCUUUAUCUACAGAUUAUUUCCCCUCUUUACUUAUGGCAAAAAGAUUAUUUUCCUACGAAAAAGAAGUUAUUUUCCUAUUUAUAACCAACGAAUGGGUGAAUUAAUUUAGCAAACGAAAUCAACGAAUCAAAUAUUUAUUUUGAAAGCAAAUAUUUUUGAUGAAAGACUUACCAAAUGGAGAGAGAAUCAAGAGCAAGUUCUGGGUUCUCGAGAAGUCCGGCAAGAAGAACCAAGAUCUGAAAAUACCAAGUCUCAAGGCAAAGCAUCACGGCAGAGGCGGCUGAGAGUUUGAAGAAACUCGGUAGCCCCGAGAACGCUUGCACACUGAACCCUCUCCACGUCUCACGACACCGAUCACUCGUCACGAUAUAAACAAACUGAGCCACCACUAUAACCCACCACGAGAGGCUGAGCACGAGCGACGCUCCAAGAAGCCCCAUCCCAAGCUUGUAAACAGCGAGCCAGCUAAGGAGAAGAUGAACGAAGAGAGUGGCUGUUGCAAUGUAAGCACUUGGAGCAACAAUGCUUUGAGCCUGUAGGAACUUCUGGAUCGGGAAGUUCAUUGCGUAGGCAAAGAUUUGAGGGAUGAGACCGUAGACGAAGAGAGACGCGGCGGAAGCUAUCUCCGGCGAUUCCCCGAGGAAAAGUAGAAAAGGUUUGGAGAAGACGUAGAUAAAGGUGAGGAAGACGCCGGUGAGAGUGAGUAAUACGGCGGAUCUCUGGAGAUAAAUGCCGAGCAUAUCGUACUUCCUACCUCCAAACGCUUGUCCACAAAGCGUUUCCACCGCACUCCCCAUUCCUAGCUACAUAUUUUUAGGCUCCAAAGUUAUUACAAAACAGUUUAAAGUAUGUUGUAUAAUAUUCUUGUAACAAUUCUCGUAAUUUGUAAUAUAUAAUCAGUGUUAAAAAAAAUUCCAAUCCAUAACCACAUUAAAAGAUCAACAGAUGAUUUAGUUACCAUGAGACCGUAGGCGAAGACUUGUAUCCCGGUGUUCCCGAGAGAAGCGGCGGCGAGUUCUAGGUUUCCUAGGUGGCCGGAGAAGAUUUGAGUAGACAUGGACAUGAGAUAGUUUAUCAUGUAGACGAUGACAGCAGGCGCAGCAAGCUUGAAGAGAAGUUUGGAUUCAAUCAUCGUGGCUUUACGCAGACGGGCAAACAGGGGAGUUUCAACGUCGGAUAGGACUCUCUCUAACUCGCUGUUGUUCGACUCCGUCGCCGGAGAAAGCUGAGGCUGGAGAAGUGGUUGGUAUGCGCCAUCGUUUUGAGACGAGUCCAUGAGACUUUGCUCUGCUUAAGUCUAGUGAAGGUCUUUUUGUAGAGGGUGGCAAACUAGCAAUUGACUUACGGCUUAUAUGCACAGUGCACACUCGUGAUUCUCGCCUUGAGUUUUUUUUUUUUUUUUUUUUUUUUGAGAUAGAUAGAACUCUAGUGCUUGUGGUAAGCCCACGUCAAUUAUUUUCAUUUCAUAUCAUUUUCUUAUUUCGGUUUUUGUUUUGUUUUCAAAGGACAUUCAAUUAAGAUCAUCAUUAACAGUUAGAAAUCUACUAGGUUCUUAACUAGAUAGUUUCAUAUUUAAAAAGCAUUGAGAAAGUGAAAAUUAGGGCUGGGCAAAAAACCCGGAUCCGAAGAAUCGAACCGAACCCAAUCCGAAAAAGUAGUACCAAACCCGAACCGAAAUUGAUUAAAUAUCUGAACGGGUUCAAAUUUUGGUAUCUAGAGAACCGAAACCAAAUCCGACCCGAACCGAAGUAUUUCGGGUAUCCGAAUGUAACCGAAAUAGAUUUAUAUACCUAAAUAUAUUACUUAUUUUUAGAUUUAAUAUAUAUUAAAAACAUCCAAAAUAUAUAAGAUACUUUAAAGUUGUCUAAAAUACUUGAAAUAUACAUAAAUAGUCAAAAGUAAUGUCUAAAAUAGAUAAAAUAUAUUCAAAACACCAAAAUACUUGAAAUAUUUUAACAUAUAUUAUACAAAUUUAUAUGUAAUACAUUAUUUUGAUUUAUAGAUUUUGAAAAAUUUUAAGCAUAUAAUGAAUAUUAAAAAUAAUUUAAAUGAGUUAUCCGAACCCGAACCGAACCCGCAAAGAUCCGAACCGAACCCGAACAAUUAAUUUAGCAAACGAAAUCAACGAAUCAAAUAUUUAUUUUGAAAGCAAAUAUUUUUGAUGAAAGACUUACCAAAUGGAGAGAGAAUCAAGAGCAAGUUCUGGGUUCUCGAGAAGUCCGGCAAGAAGAACCAAGAUCUGAAAAUACCAAGUCUCAAGGCAAAGCAUCACGGCAGAGGCGGCUGAGAGUUUGAAGAAACUCGGUAGCCCCGAGAACGCUUGCACACUGAACCCUCUCCACGUCUCACGACACCGAUCACUCGUCACGAUAUAAACAAACUGAGCCACCACUAUAACCCACCACGAGAGGCUGAGCACGAGCGACGCUCCAAGAAGCCCCAUCCCAAGCUUGUAAACAGCGAGCCAGCUAAGGAGAAGAUGAACGAAGAGAGUGGCUGUUGCAAUGUAAGCACUUGGAGCAACAAUGCUUUGAGCCUGUAGGAACUUCUGGAUCGGGAAGUUCAUUGCGUAGGCAAAGAUUUGAGGGAUGAGACCGUAGACGAAGAGAGACGCGGCGGAAGCUAUCUCCGGCGAUUCCCCGAGGAAAAGUAGAAAAGGUUUGGAGAAGACGUAGAUAAAGGUGAGGAAGACGCCGGUGAGAGUGAGUAAUACGGCGGAUCUCUGGAGAUAAAUGCCGAGCAUAUCGUACUUCCUACCUCCAAACGCUUGUCCACAAAGCGUUUCCACCGCACUCCCCAUUCCUAG